UGUUGACAUUAUAGUUGUGCAGGAACUUUAUUGGCUCUAGAGAACCUCGGGCAAAUCGCACAUUCCCGUGGCGGCGACUUUGCAUGCGGAUGCCAUCCACAUCAACUUUCGAUGCCAGUUUCUGGGCAUACCAUGGUGACCUCGGGUAACAGGGAAUCAGACUUCCAUUCCAUACAGGGACCCUGAGAAAUGGCUACCACAUGCAAGGAAAGCAGCAUGCGUGCAAAUGACCCACUCCCGAUGCGGGAAGGUAGUGAUGAUA